CUUCCGCCAUGGAGGUAAAUCUUCAAUGGAGCCAUGGAAGUUUACUGGAUCCCUAAUGGACGUCUACCUAACUUCCGCCAUAGCGGUAAAUCUCCAAUGGAGUUAAGGAAGUUUACUAGACCUCUAAUGGACGUCCAUCUGACUUCCACCAUGGACAUAGACGUCCCAUGGAUCUAUGGAGGUUUAAUGGACGUCCAUUGGACAUCCACUGGAUGCCAAUUUCUAUGUGGGUACUUACUAGGUGACCUACAUUUGUCUCGCAAUAUUAACAUAUUUACAACCAUCAAUAUUAGAAAUCGGAAAUAUUUCCAAAAGUAUCUGCGCUCGUAAUUUAUAUGAAGAGACUAAUUCCGUUAUUUAUACAGUUAAUAAUUAAUUCGAAAAAUAAAUUGGUUUCUGUCAUUUAUAUAUAUUUUUAUAUUACCUAUUGCAGGACUUGAAUCAUGUCCUGCAGCGAGUAGUAUUUGAAAUAUACUAUCGAAUGCGCAAGUAUUAGUGAUAGUAUAAUUGCCAUUAUUUAUACUUAAAGAUUUUAAAGAUAAACUAUUGCCGUUUUUUAAAAUAGGUAUUUUUACAGUUUUUUUACAUGUCAAAGAAUCUAUUAACUUAUGUUGACUUUUACCGAGAUACAAUGCAGUUUUAUUUGGUUUUGUUAUUUCUAAACCACACCAAUUCACCACUUCACGACUUGCCAAAAUGUUCUUUAUAUUUUCUAUAUUUUGACACAUCUUGCAUAAACGACGUUGGCCAUAACCUUCUUCAGCAUCAUUAAAAGGUAAAGAACAUUGAGGUAAUGCGUCAACAUUUUUUUUACAUAAAUAACAAAUGUGUGCAUUUGUUGGUUGAUCAUUAUUUUGGUAUGCGGGACAUGAAUCAUUAUCUACUAAAUUAGUAUUACUUUUAGGCUCGUUUAAAGUUAACGGUACAUGGAAUUCAUCAUCCACAUUAACAAAAUCUGUGUCAACAAUUUUCAUAAUACCAUGUAAAUAAUUAACAUGCUUUUGAAUGAAUGAAUCAAUCCGCAAUAGUGGACAAUUUUUUUACAAUAAAGAUUUUAUUUGAUUAAAUUCACUUUCGACGAACGUACUAGAAGCAAGUAUGCGACCGUAACCAAAUUUAUCCGUGUAAAUAUUACUCCAAAGGGGUAAUAAUCUUAUAUCAAUCAUAAGACGAUCAACUAAUUUUGGAAAAUAAAGUGGAUUAAUUCUAUCACCUUCCAAAGUAAUUAACGAUCUAGCAUCAUUUAAAAUUUGCUUACCCCACAUGGUCCAUGAGUUUUCAAAUGAAUUAUUAUAGCUAUCUGCUUUAGUUACAUUUUCCAUUUCAAAUAUAGCAUUAUUAUUAUUACUGUCGAUUUCAAAGUUUUAUGUUUCUAAUUCAUUAGUAUUAGUCAUUAAAUUUAUUAAUUUAUGAUGUGCCUUAUCACAUUCAGUAAGAUCACCAGUUUUUAAAUUUCCAUCCGUUUCUAACAUUGCUAUUAUAAAAAUGGAUUGUAUUAUUUCUUUUGCAUUUAUAAUAUUUCUAAACAAUAUUAACUGACCAAUUGCACCAAGAUAAAAAAAACAUUUUUGCUCUUUUAUUUAAUAAUUUUAAAAAAUUUGAAUAUUUUUUAAUAUAAUGUGCCACAUCUAUUCUUACCUAACAUUUCGGUAAACUAGAAUUUUUAUAUGCAUUCGCGUAAUCUUCGAUAUUGAGAUAGGCUGUAAAGGCGCGAAUAAUUGCAAUUAAUAGUGCUCUAGAUGAAUCGCAAAUCACUUGUUUAGGUACCGGCGCAGCAGAACGUAACCACUCUGUUAACCAAAAGUGAAUUGAAUUUGCAUUAUGACCUUCGCUUACCAUUUGACAAACACUAAAUUGUACACUUUUGCAAUUAAUGACACAAUGGUAUUAAAAAAAAAUGUUUUGCUGUUGAUCCAUCCGCCUUACAUAAAUGUUUAAUAAUACUGCCGGUUGCAUCGAUAGAUACACAUACAUUGUUUUCUAUGGCGUAUUUUUUAUAAACAUUUAUUAAUUGGUGGUUGCUCCAGUAAUGGACGAAAACGGGAUUUAAUCCAAUAUUAUGGAUUAUAUUUUGCAAUGAUGACGAUUUUAAAAUAACUAAUGCUUUAAGAGCAUCUGGAUUUAUAUAAUCUGCUAUUGUUGCUUCCGAUUUCGCUGCAUGUAAAACAGAUAGACUGAGAAUCGUUUGUUAAAAACUUGGUUGGCAACACUCGAAACAAAUGUUAAACAUUUGUUGCCAACCAAGUUUUUAACAAACAACUCUCAGUCUAUCCAGUAACUUAUACGGGAUCAGAUCGCUAAAGAAUCUUUCUCUAAUCUCAUCGCUAAAUACGUAAAGUGCGUAAACGUUUUAUAAAUUUUAUCAUGCCUCCACGUGGCAGACCGGAAAAUAUACCUCUCGAGUAAAUGAAAGGCAAUUUUACAAUACAAAGAUAUUGUGAAAAACGAUAAUAAGAUCGUUUCGUAAACACAUGAUGUUUGGCAUACUAUAGCGCAAAACUUAAACAAUAAAGUAACUGCAAAUAAUUUAUAUCUGUUUACAAUAGGCAACCGAUACAAUGUGAAAGAUAUUAUUUUUAAUAAAGUAUGUAAAGAUGUUUCGGAAAAACUGGAGUAAAAUUUGUAUAUUUCGGCGUAAGGGACCUUUGUUCUGUCUAGAGGCUUUUGCUAACCAGGGGGGGGGGCGAUGAGUUGAAAAAAAUGUUCCAGCCCCUCUUUAUUGGUUGUGGAGUUAAAAGGGAGUGUUUUUUUAGUUGGUAGGCGCACGUGGCCUCCGGGUCACGGGUGAAUCCAACACGCCAGGGUUAGGUCCGCCUGGUGUCUUUGGAAGAUUUUUCACUCCCUAUAAAAAGGUCGAGAGUCGAUCAAGUGAGGGAGACAAUCAGAUCAUAGAUAUAUAUUUUUUGAUGUAAAUGUUGAUAUGGAUCGAAGACAGGUUAAUAAAAAGAAUGUUUAUUAUCCUCGUUAGAACCAUAAUAAGCUUGACGAAGAUAUGUUUACGGCGUUGCUUGAAGAUAACGUGUGGAUAAAGGAUGCAAAUGAUUCCUUGAAAUUGGAUAGGAGUGUUGAUAGAAUUAUGAAGGGACUUAUUAAAGCAUGAUGGUUCUAUGCCGCGUGUUCGUGGAUCUAGGGCACGCCUUGUUUACUGGUGGAAUGAGGAGAUUGUCGAGACGAGACAAAGAUGCCAGGCUGUUCGUAGAAGAUUGGUUAGGGCUAGAGCACGUAGAAGAACUGCUGAAAUUGAGGAGUUACUGAAACAGCAUAAGUUGAUCAAAAAAGAAUUGUCUAUUAAAAUUGUCAGGGCUAAAGAAAGAUCAUGGCAGGAGCUACUGAAUUCGAUAGAGGAGGAUCCAUGAGGACGUCAUAUAAGAUGGUUAUAGAUAAAUUAAAGAAGUACACUCCUUCGAUCUGUGAGGUAUUAGAGCUGGAUAGUGAGUUUUAUUAAGAAAUUAUUUCCCCAAGGAUGUAUGGGCAUUCGCCGAGUUAAUACGGGACCGAUUUAUGACAUCCUCUCUGUCACGGCUGAAGAGCUCAAGGCGCUAAUACGAGAAUUCAAAGGUAAUAAAAAGACUCCUGGAUUGGAUGGUGUUACGAAUAGUAUACUGGCGAAAUCUGCUGCAAUAUUACUAGAUGAAUGGUGUGCCAUAUAUACGAGAUGUUUUUGGAAGGGAGUCGUUCUUAAAAGAUAAAAGAUAGCUAGGCUGGUGAUGAUCAGUAAGCCCGGUAAACCUGAAAGAAAAGCCUCUUCGUACAGGCCGAUAUGUUUGCUUGAUACGGCUGGUAAGCUGCUGGAGAGUUAUUUCCGGGAGACUAAUUAAGGUUAUAAAAGAUAGAAGAGGAGUAACCCCUUGUCAAUUUGGUUUUACAGAGGGUAGAUCUACAAUUGAUGUUAUAAGAUGCCUGAAGAAAAACAUCGAAGCUGCACACCGUAGAGGAGAGGAUGUGAUGGCGGUCAGUCUUGAUAUAAAGAAUGCAUUCAACUCAAUACUUUGGCCGGUUAUUAUGGAAGUUUUAAUAAAUAUAGGCGCACCUGAAUAACCUGUGGGGGAUUAUUUCCAGUUACCUGCAUGAGAGAUCACUUGUGUUCUGGGAUAGGAAUGGUGAGCGACGAGAGGUCGAGAUGUCAUGUGGAGUAUCUCAGGGCUCUGUACUCGGCCCUUUACUGUGGAACGUGGCACCAGGGACUUACAGAACCGGCUUAGCCCAUUUCCUAAUUUUUCCGGACCGUUUUCCGCAUCAGAUUUCCCCGUAUCUUCCAAACUGCAACCUUGUCACUUUUGUUUUUGACAGGGAGUUGCUUCGAGGGGCGUAACUUCGAAACUACUGGACCCACAGCGGGCAGACUUUGCAGGAGUCAAGUCGACAUUUUGGGCUACAACAUACAAAAAAAUUCAGAUUUUUUGCUCAACUUUUACGAAUUUGGCGCUAUUUCAAACAUUUGUUCCUUUAAUUUUGUCCAGUAGUUUAAUUAGUGCAACAGCUAGACAUAAUAUUUUAAAAACAGUUGAAAAACUGUUGUAUGAAGACAGCAGUGAUGAUAAAUGUGAGAGAUGGCAGUAAGCAGCAAACGUACUUCAAAUACGACUUCUUGUCCGGGAAGAUUUAAACCGCGUUGUAAGAAUUAGAAAUCAUAUCACCAUGACAAUACCAAAUUAUACAGAAAGAUAAUUCAGAGAACAUUUUCGAAUGCCCAGAAAAACAUUUGAAAACUUAGAGCAAAUAUCAACACCUUAUUUAAUAAGAAUAGCAGAAACUGGAAGAAAUACUUUAAAUGUGCGGACACAAUUACUAACAGUUUUGUGGCUACUUGCAACUCCUGAUUCAUUCAGAUCUGUGUCCGUUUUGACAGUAAGUCACUGAUACAUGAUUCCUUAAAGAGAAAGGUGGCUGCCUUAAAUAAUGUAGCCGACAGAUUUAUUAAAUGGCCGGUUGGUGAUCGAUUAAAUGAUAUUAAAUGUCGAUUUUCUCAAAUUAGACUGCUUCCCGAUAUGAUUGGAGCAAUUGACGGAUGCCACAUUGCUAUUCUUGCACCUAAAGUAAGUUAUAAGGAGUGUGUUGCCACUGAGCGCGUCACGUAUUGCGUCAUUUAUUCUAUUGACUUAUUCUAUUGUAUCAUUUUAAGAUACAAAUCUGAAUAAGCCAAUAUAACAGAUUACGCGACGCGUGAUACGCUUAGUGAAAACGCACUCAAACUUGUUUUAAAAUAUUAAUUCAUGUUACAGCGCGUCAAAUAGAUCACACCAAUAGUAAUUAUUUCUAUGUGAUUGUUUUUACACAUGGAGCAAAUAAUGACUUGUUACACGCACGAAACAAACAAUAUCACAUAAACGAACUUUGGCAACCUUUUGCUGCAGACAAAUGCCCGACACUUGCCAGGAAACCCAAAUUGUUUUUCAUACAGGUAAAACAAUAUUUCCGAAUUUUGUUUUUUUUUUAAUUAUCAAUAUAUUCCAUUUCACAUUUCUGCUUUCUUUUAUCCAACUUGCUUACCUAGUCUGGUUUUUUGUUUAGGCAGAGGGAAAAAAGUAGAAUUUUCCGUGGUACUCGACCUAUGCAAAAAACGGUUGAUACAUCAAGUCAACGGUAUACUAUACCAGCUCAUGCAGAUUUUCUUUUAAGCCAAAAUUUGGUUACUGGUUUUAUUUCUUGGAGGAGUCCAGAACAAGGAACUAAUUAUAUAACUUCGUUAUGUAAUAUUUUGAACCAAAAAGCAAAGAACUUAAAUUUAAUGAAAAUGCUAUCGUUAGUGACACGUAAAACUGCUAUUAAACCGCUCAUAGGAAUACAAACAUCAUUUGUAAAAUUUGUAUACAUACAAAGAUAUUUAUAAACGUAAUAUCAAUAAAAAUUUAAUCAGUAAAAAUAAAAAAUAAUUAUUCGUAUAAUAUAUUAUACGGCUUAAGAAAAUUUUUAAUCACGCGAAUGUAUCCAAGCAUAUCUGUCAUAGGGUGCUCCUAAGAUUCAGCGUCACGUGCGCGAUCGGCGGCCAUAGUUUUCUCUUACAGAGGUUGUAAAUAAGAUAAGUAAGGUAGAGAUAUAGUAGGCGGUGGCUAAGGAAUCGGCUGUUGUGUGGAAUAUAUUAGGCAUAGACAUAGUAUGUCUAAACUGAGCAUUGCAGGAAUAGGGGUAAGGUUCAGAGGGAAAAGGCUAGCAUGCUUUGGGUCAUACCUUUCUCGUUCGCGCAUGUUAACAAGUGCAAAGUUCACUUAUACGCAUGCGCGAACGUGAGAAAAAGGUAUGACUCAAAGCAUGCUAGCCUUUGCUCUCUGAACUUUAUCUCUACUUCUACAAUGCUCAGUCUAGAUAUUAUGUCUAUGAUAUUAUGUAUAUAAUAAAUGUAUAAUAUAUAUUCGGCUGCUUACCUUUUAGGGAACACAAUCGACAAAAGUUUUAUCUUUGUUACUUAUUGAACAUAAAAAAAGAAUAGAAUUUUUUUUUGCGAUGCUUGUGUCGAUUGUGUUCCCUAAAAGGAAAUAUAUGCAUGUAUUAAUUUUUGUUUUGUUUAUUAAAAUGGUCGUAAAAGUGACACACAAUGCAACGCAAUAUUUUUGCAAAUUUAUCAGAAAGUGAUAGAGAACGAAUUAUCGAACUCUAUGAAUCGGCAGUAAGCAGAAGUGAAAUCGCUCAAACGGUAGGAUAUAGUGAACACACAGUUGGUAGAUGGAUAACAAAAUAUUCACUGAAAGAAUAAUGCAAGACCAAGAAAAACUACACCACAACAAAAUGAAAACAUUGUUCAAUUAGUGAAUGAAAACCCUUUUAAUGUUGCUGCAACAGUUUUACGCAACAAUUUUCCAAUUUUGGAAAGCACGGUGUGACGUUGGUUGAAAUCGGCUAAGGUUUGUUCACAUCCAUCAGCGAAAAAAGUUGCACUUACAGAAAAUCUAAAGAAUGCAAUUUGCACGAGAAUAUUUAAAUACACCGCAGGAAGUAUGGAACGCAAUGAUAUUUUUGGACGAAGUAACGUUUUCUUCUGCUGAAGACGGGAGAUAUAAAGUAUGGCGAUCGUAUGGAGAGCGUCUAAAUCCGAAAUGUUAUUUUCUGUGAACAAAGUGGAAGAAUUAGCUUGGGAUUUUGUGGAAGUAUGACAUCCUCAAGAUUAAUGGAUAUUGUAGAAAUAUUACCACAUAUGGAUACUGAAGAAUAUGUGGAGAUUUUGGAAGGAAUUUUAAAACCUAGCGCUAGACAAAUAUAUCCUGAAGAACAAUGCCCAGUUAUUAAAAUCGUUCAAGACAACAGUGCUGUACACACUUCAAGAAUGGUUCAGUUAUGGUUUGAAGCAAAUCCUGAUUUUCAACUAAUACCAUGGCCAGCAAAGUCACCCGAUCUAAAUCCGAUCGAAAACGUAUGGGCCAAGAUGAAGUUAUUAUGGAUAUCAGAUCAAUUAAGAACCAAAGAAGCGUUAAGAGAUCAUGUUUACCGAGUUUGGAAUCAAUUGACAUUGACACCCGAUUACACGUAAAAUUUAGUUAAUUCGAUGUCGAGACGACUAGAAUUAGUACUCCAAAAUGAUGGUUUUUGGAUUCCAUAUUGUUAAGUAUAAAUUCAAUAAUAAUUUUAAAAAGUAAAUAAUAGUAACUAUAUAUAUUGUAGAAUAACAAUUACAUUCUUUUUUUUUUCAGAAAAUUUACAGAAAGAGGAAAAUAAAAUUAACUUUACUUUGAAACAAUAUCAUCUGGUAACCGGAUUCUACAUAUCUACAUGGUCGACCGAAGAAAAUAGAAGAAAAUUUUAAAAGAUUGUAUUUGCUAUUAUUUAUAGUUACCAUUGUUUUUUUUAAUUGUUGUUGAAUUUAUACUUACCAAUAUGGAAUCUAGCAAUCAUCAAUUUGGAGGAUUAAUUACAGUAGUCUUGACACCAAAUUAACUAAAUUCUGCAUAUAAUCGGAUGUCAACGCUAAUUGAUUCCAUAUUUGGUAAAUAAAAUUUCUUAAUGGUUCUUUGAUUCUUAAUUGACUAAAUAUCCAUGACGAUUACGUUCCAUACGUUUUUGAUUGGAUUUAGAUCUGGUGCUUUGGCCAUAGUAUUAGUUAAAAAUCAGAUUUAAACUUCAAUUAAACCAUUCUUAAAAUGUGUACAGUACUGUUGUCUUGAGCGAUUUUAAUAACUGGAUAUUAAUUGUUAUUCAGAUACUUACCAAGCGUUAAAUUUUUAAAUUUUUUCCAAAAUCUUAACAUAUACUUUAGCAUCCAUAUGUGAUAAUAUUUCUAAAAUAUCUCUUAAUCUUGAGAAUGUCGUGCUUCCUCAAAAUCCUAAGUUAUUUCUUCCAUUAUGUUUAUAGGAAGUAGAAUUUUGAACUUAGACGCUCUCUGAUUGCUACACUUUACAUCUCUCGUCUUAAGCCGAAGAAAACAUUUUUUUUGUCCAACCAUUAUUGCGUUCCAUUCUUUCUACGGUGUAAUUAAAUGUUUUUUGUGCGAAUUGCAUUCUUUGCCAUAAUUGAAAGAGCCAUAAUUGAAAGAGAUAAUUCGCCUAAAUUGCCAGUAGCUAAACAAAUUGUGAUAACUCUUUGGAUUCUUGAUAAUCAAAAAGUUUACAGGUUAGAUAUAAAUAAAAAUAUUAAUAUAUUUUAAUUGUAAUUUUUUUUCUUUACAUGUAA